GAUGAAGAACGUAGCGAAAUGCGAUAAGUAAUGUGAAUUGCAGAAUUCAGUGAAUCAUCGAAUCUUUGAACGCACAUUGCGCCCCUUGGUAUUCCGAGGGGCAUGCCUGUUCGAGCGUCAUUAUAACCCCUCAAGCUCAGCUUGGUGUUGGGGCUUGCUGCACUGGCAGCCCUUAAAAUCAGUGGCGGCGCCAUCUGGCUCUAAGCGUAGUAAUUCUUCUCGCUAUGGAGUCCUGGUGGAUGCUUGCCAUCAACCCCCAAUUUUUCUAUGGUUGACCUCGGAUCAGGUAGGGAUACCCGCUGAACUUAAGCAUAUCAAUAAGCGGAGGA
rnacentral:misc_RNA from 1 species